GGRUUCCCCUAGUAACGGCGAGCGAACGGGGAAGAGCUCGUAGCCGAAUCCCCAGCUCCAAGGCUGGGGAAAUGUGGCGUAUGGGAGGCGGUCCUCCGGCAGGAUUCGGCGGUACAAGUCCCCAUGAGCGGGGCAAUUGGCCCGGAGGGGGUGCUAGGCCCGUACCGCCGCCGGAUCUCUAUCGGAAUCGUCGCUCUCCCGGGAGUCGGGUUGCUUGGGAGUGCAGCCCAAAGUGGGUGGUAAACUCCACCUAAAGCUAAAUAAGACCGAGAGACCGAUAGCAAACAAGUACCAUGAGGGAAAGUUGAAAAGCACUUUGAAGAGAGAGUUCAAGAGUACGUGAAACCGUUCGGAGGUAAACGGGUGGGACUUCGAAGUCCUGGGUAGUCUAGGAUUCAGCCCGUGCCCGUCAAGGGUUCUUCAGCGUGAUCGCUCCGACGGAGGUCGCGUCGUAGGGCCGUGACGGGAUGGGUGCACUUCCUAGAUCCCCCUUUGGGCGUCGCGACCGGUUCGGAGGUCGUCGUGAGGAGGGCAUGAAAGUUACCGCAUAGUCUUUGGCUAUGUUGUAGUAAGUCAGCCCUACCGGGCAGACCGACGGACCGGGGUUCAACGCUCCCAGCUUUCGGCACCAACGCUUCGACGGAUCCUUGCCCAGAUGCAACGCGCGUCGUGUCCUGGGCUCGCGAUCUUUCGAGUGUGCUGGGUGGCCGUGAGGAGCAGGGGGUCGCGGCGAGUAGGUCGGUUUCCCACCCGACCCGUCUUGAAACACGGACCAAGGAGUCUAACGCGUGUGCGAGUUCCCGGGACUUGACCAGGCCCGCGGGCGCAAUGAAAGUGAAGGUCGGCUCUAGCCGUCCGAGUUGGGAUCCCCCUUCCUCGGGAGGGGGCGCACCAACGGCCCGUCCGACGCCGUUCUCGGCGGGGCGGAGCAGGAGCAUACGCUCUGGGACCCGAAAGAUGGUGAACUAUGCCUGGGCAGGACGAAGCCAGAGGAAACUCUGGUGGAGGUCCGCAGCGAUUCUGACGUGCAAAUCGAUCGUCAGACCUUG
rnacentral:rRNA from 1 species